rnacentral:rRNA from 1 species
GAUGAACGCUGGCGGCGUGCCUAAUACAUGCAAGUCGAGCGAACGGACGAGAAGCUUGCUUCUCUGAUGUUAGCGGCGGACGGGUGAGUAACACGUGGAUAACCUACCUAUAAGACUGGGAUAACUUCGGGAAACCGGAGCUAAUACCGGAUAAUAUUUUGAACCGCAUGGUUCAAAAGUGAAAGACGGUCUUGCUGUCACUUAUAGAUGGAUCCGCGCUGCAUUAGCUAGUUGGUAAGGUAACGGCUUACAAAGGCAACGAUGCAUAGCCGACCUGAGAGGGUGAUCGGCCACACUGGAACUGAGACACGGUCCAGACUCCUACGGGAGGCAGCAGUAGGGAAUCUUCCGCAAUGGGCGAAAGCCUGACGGAGCAACGCCGCGAGAGUGAUGAAGGUCUUCGGAUCGUAAAACUCUGUUAUUAGGGAAGAACAUAUGUGUAAGUAACUGUGCACAUCUUGACGGUACCUAAUCAGAAAGCCACGGCUAACUACGUG